GACGAACGCUGGCGGCGUGCUUAACACAUGCAAGUCGAACGGAAAGGCGCGGCUUUUGUGGGGUGCUCGUGUGGCGAACGGGGGAGUAACACGUGAGUAACCCGCCCUUGACUGUGGGAUAACUUCAGGAAACUGGGGCUAUUAUCGGAGAGGAGCUCCUGCUGCAUGGGGGUGGUUGGAAAGUUUCGGCGGUUGGGGCUAGACUCGCGGGUUAUCAGCUUGUUGGUGGGGUAGUGGCGUACCAAGGCUUCGACGGGUAGCCGGCCUGGGAGGGUUAACGGCCACAAUGGGACUGAGAUACGGACCAGAAUCCUACGGGCGGCAGCAGUGGAGAAUAUUGCAGAACGGGCGGAAGCGUGAUGCAGCAACGCCGCGUGCGGGAUGACGGCCUUCGGGUUGUAAACCGCUUUCGCCUGUGACGAAGCGUGAGUGACGGUAAUGGGUAAAGAAGCACCGGCUAACUACGUG
rnacentral:rRNA from 1 species